rnacentral:pre_miRNA from 1 species
AGAGGGAUAGCUGGGUCAAAUGGUGGUUCCAUUCCCAGAUUUCCAAGGAAUCUCCAUACUGCUUUCCAUAUUGGCUGCACCAAUUUGCAGUCCCAUCAGCAAU